CUCUCUCACUCAAUGUCUCUAGAAGACUAAUCUUCAACAUACAGAUUCAUUUUCAACCAAAAGGGUCACUUUCUUCUAGAAUAAAUCUUAGGUCGUACCUUCAGGACUUGGUUGGUAGUUGGUUCUCAACUGCUUCGAUAUACAUAUAUUAGCAAACUCUCCUCUCAGUAAAGUUGUAUCAGUCGGUCGGAGACGUUGCAGAGGAAUGGCUGUUAUUGAAACAUUCAAGCCUAACACGUCGUUCAUCGUGUUCUUGGUUCUGCUUUGUCUUGGCUCGGAGAUGAAAUCAGUAUCCACAGAAGCAAGGAGUCUCUCCAGCUUCCCAUCUCAUCAGAGUUAUUCAAGAAUUUUCGGCACGCUUGGAGUUGUUUGCAAGUGCUGCAACAAUGCCGGUGGCGAAUGCACCAAUACAUGGACCGGGUCCUGUUCCAAUCUUCAUUGCUUUCCGUGGAAAUUUAGUUGAUGCAUGCGUAUAGUCCUAUUGUAUCCCAUCUUUUCUCACGCUGUACUUAGCUAUAGAAUUAGAAAGAAAGCUGAAAGCUCCAUACAAAGAGAUUAGAUUGAGUACAAAGUUCUUUUA